AAAGUCGUAACAAGGUAACCGUAGGUGAACCUGCGGUUGGAUCAUUAAAAAAUCAAGGUUUAGUAGCUGAGUCUAGGCAACUAGAUUCGCUGCUAGACCCUAUACACUUGUGCACGUUAUUGUAUUUUGGGUGAGAAGUAAUUCUUGCCCAGCCAAAACUGAACCCUGUUAUAUAUUAGUCUAAUUUGAGAAAAAGAGUAACAACUUUUGACAAUGGAUCUCUUGGCUCUC
rnacentral:misc_RNA from 1 species